rnacentral:misc_RNA from 1 species
GAUGAAGAACGCAGCGAAAUGCGAUAAGUAAUGUGAAUUGCAGAAUUCAGUGAAUCAUCGAAUCUUUGAACGCACAUUGCGCCCCCUGGUAUUCCGGGGGGCAUGCCUGUUCGAGCGUCAUUUCACCACUCAAGCCUCGCUUGGUAUUGGGCGACGCGGUCCGCCGCGCGCCUCAAAUCGACCGGCUGGGUCUUCCGUCCCCUCAGCGUUGUGGAAACUAUUCGCUAAAGGGUGCCGCGGGAGGUCACGCCGCAAAACAACCCCAUUUCUAAGGUUGACCUCGGAUCAGGUAGGGAUACCCGCUGAACUUAAGCAUAUCAUAGCGGAGGA